rnacentral:rRNA from 1 species
CUCAUUAAAUCAGUUAUCGUUUAUUUGAUAGUACCUUACUACUUGGAUAACCGUGGUAAUUCUAGAGCUAAUACAUGCUAAAAACCCCGACUUCGGGAGGGGUGUAUUUAUUAGAUAAAAAACCAAUGCCCUUCGGGGCUCUUUGGUGAUUCAUGAUAACUUAACGGAUCGCAUGGCCUUGCGCCGGCGACGGUUCAUUCAAAUUUCUGCCCUAUCAACUUUCGAUGGUAAGGUAUUGGCUUACCAUGGUUUCAACGGGUAACGGGGAAUUAGGGUUCGAUUCCGGAGAGGGAGCCUGAGAAACGGCUACCACAUCCAAGGAAGGCAGCAGGCGCGCAAAUUACCCAAUCCCGACUCGGGGAGGUAGUGACAAUAAAUACUGAUACAGGGCUCUUUUGGGUCUUGUAAUCGGAAUGAGUACAAUUUAAACCCCUUAACGAGGAACAAUUGGAGGGCAAGUCUGGUGCCAGCAGCCGCGGUAAUUCCAGCUCCAAUAGCGUAUAUUAAAGUUGUUGCAGUUAAAAAGCUCGUAGUUGAACCUUGGGCCUGGCUGGCCGGUCCGCCUCACCGCGUGUACUGGUCCGGCCGGGCCUUUCCUUCUGGAGAGCCGCAUGCCCUUUACUGGGUGUGUCGGGGAACCAGGACUUUUACUUUGAAAAAAUUAGAGUGUUCAAAGCAGGCCUUUGCUCGAAUACGUUAGCAUGGAAUAAUAGAAUAGGAUGUGCGGUCCUAUUUUGUUGGUUUCUAGGACCGCCGUAAUGAUUAAUAGGGAUAGUCGGGGGCAUCAGUAUUCAAUUGUCAGAGGUGAAAUUCUUGGAUUUAUUGAAGACUAACUACUGCGAAAGCAUUUGCCAAGGAUGUUUUCAUUAAUCAGUGAACGAAAGUUAGGGGAUCGAAGACGAUCAGAUACCGUCGUAGUCUUAACCGUAAACUAUGCCGACUAGGGAUCGGGCGAUGUUUCUAUCUUGACUCGCUCGG